ensembl:lncRNA
CAAACAGAUUCAUAUGUGGACGCAACAAACUCUUGGACUGUGGACUUUAUCUCAAGAAUGUAAUGAGAUAAUGAUUUAGGACUUAUGAUUUAUUUUCUAUGCCUUUUGGAAAACAAAACUAACUUACAGUGUGUCUCUAUCAGGUCGCUGUCUCUGGGAAUUAUGUUUUGGAAAAAGCAGAAUUUGCUGUGGCUGAUGAUCAUCUGUUGUGCUACGAGCCAGAUAAGUAUGCGUCCGUCAAAAAAUGCAUUUAUCAUGUCAAUGAAUGUUGUUUGGUGCACAGAGACUUACAGUGUUGUCUUUGUUUGUGCAGCCUGUUCAAAAAUAAUGAUAAUUGGCGAGACUUUGACGGAUAGAAAUUUCGGCAGCUUCAAUAGUUCUUAUCCAGCCGUAAACGUGACGUGUUCACCAACGUAUGAAAUACUGAUAGGAGAUUUUUGCAUAGUAAAUGUCCAACAAAACACUUCUGUCCUGGGAGACUGCAAUUCAUACCGUUUCAACAUAACAAACGAUGAGGGAAAAUAUAAAGUAAGAAUGAAUCAGACGGUUAAAAACAUAACAAUGUGGUUUUUCCCAAAAGGAUCUCAAUGUCUUCCAUCACAAGUCCUGAAUUCAGCAGGAUCCACAUCAAAUUAUAUUGGGACUUGCCAGACACAGCAAAGCAACCCUAACACCACCAACACCCAAUCUAUUACCAACAUUACUAACAACCCUAGCAACUGCCCUACCACACCCAUCCCCACCACCUGCAAUGCCAUUUCUCCAGAUACAUGUUGUUUGAAAAUCCCUCCUGUGGUUCCUGAAAAUACAUGUAAUAACGCUUCAUAUCGAAAUGAUGCAUGCACUGGAAACGAAGGAAGCAGAUACAUUCUGUAUUUAAAUGGGAAUGAAUGGAUGUGUGUGACCUGCAUUAACGUAAUAUCGACAACUCCAAAGCCGACUACUAGUUCACCAUCACAUACGACAACUAUCACUCCAGAUACUAGUUUAACAUCGGAUACGACAACUAACACUCUAGCUACUAGUUCAGCAUCGGAUACGACAACUAACAGUCCAACUACUAGUUCACCAUCACAUACAACAACUAUCACUCCAGCUACUAGUUCAACAUCGGAUACUACAACUAACAAUCCAACUACUAGUUCACCAUCACAUACAACAACUAACACUCCAGCUACUAGUUCAACAUCGGAUACUACAACUAACAGUCCAACUACUAGUUUCAUGCCAGGUAGGACAACUCCCGAGCCAACUGUCCCACCAGCUGAGAUAACUUUCAAUCUAUUAGAUGGGAAGAACGAAACAAAUGGCCAAUCACAGACAAACACAGAUCAAGUUAAGCCCGAAAAGGCAGCAGAAAACUUGGACAAAGUAGAGUCCCUGGUGGAGCAGAUGGAAAAAAGCAAUAAAACCAAUGCAGCAAUUGUCAUUGGGGAUGUUAUUGGCGUUCUCCAAAGACAACCUAAGGACAAGCCAACCAAAGAUAUCAACAUAAGCUACUCUUCACGUCAGAACAUGAUAAACGUUGUUGAGAGCAACCAGACUGGUUAUCCCUGGUCUGUAAAGAUUCCCAGCGAAGCCUUUAAUAAAUCACGUCAAGAAAACAAUGGAAGUGCAUUUGUUGGAGUUUUACGAUUCAUAAACAUGGGAAAUAAGGAUGAAACUAAAACUCACACUGUUUUGAACAAUGAGAGUUAUGGAAUAACGAUGGGUGCCAACAUCUCCAACCUUACAGACACUAUUGACAUGACCAUUAAAAAUAAAGAUAAUCUGGUAAUGAAGGUUUUGUUGCAAAACUUAUUAUUUUACACUGUGAAAUCAAAAUGA